GCGGACGUGGCGGAACUGGUAGACGCAGCGGACUUAAAAUCCGCUUCUCGUUGAGAGUGGGGGUUCGAGUCCCUCCGUCCGCACCA
rnacentral:tRNA from 1 species